rnacentral:rRNA from 1 species
UACGUAGGGUCCGAGCGUUGUCCGGAAUUACUGGGCGUAAAGAGCUCGUAGGCGGCUCGUCGCGUCGACCGUGAAAACCCGCGGCUUAACCGCGGGCUUGCGGUUGAUACGGGCGGGCUAGAGUUCGGUAGGGGAGACUGGAAUUCCUGGUGUAGCGGUGAAAUGCGCAGAUAUCAGGAGGAACACCGGUGGCGAAGGCGGCAUCCUGGACCGACACUGACGCUGAGGAGCGAAAGCCAGGGGAGCAAACGGG